rnacentral:rRNA from 1 species
UAUAUUGAAACGGCAUCGUUUAAUAUUGAAAGCUCCGGCGGAUAGAGAUGGGCACGCGCAAGAUUAGCUAGUUGGUGAGGUAACGGCUCACCAAGGCAAUGAUCUUUAGGGGCCUGAGAGGGUGAUCCCCCACACUGGUACUGAGACACGGACCAGACUCCUACGGGAGGCAGCAGUGAGGAAUAUUGGUCAAUGGGUGCAAGCCUGAACCAGCCAUCCCGCGUGAAGGACGACUGCCCUAUGGGUUGUAAACUUCUUUUGUAUAGGGAUAAACCUACUCUCGUGAGGGUAGCUGAAGGUACUAUACGAAUAAGCACCGGCUAACUCCGUG